rnacentral:rRNA from 1 species
UACGUAGGCAGCGAGCGUUGUUCGGAGUUACUGGGCGUAAAGAGUGCGUAGGCGGUUUCGCAAGUUUGGUGUGAAAUCUCCCGGCUUAACUGGGAGGGUGCGCCGAAAACUGCGAGGCUUGAGAGUGGGAGAGGUAAGCGGAAUUCCCGGUGUAGCGGUGAAAUGCGCAGAUAUCGGGAGGAACACCAGUAGCGAAGGCGGCACUCUGGGCCGUGACUGACGCUGAGGAGCGAAAGCGUGGGUAGCAAACAGG